AUGGGGAAAGGGAAAAGGACUCAAAGGGGGGAAGGGGAAGGGGAUGGGGAAGGGAAAUCCCCCCCAGGGUGCCUGCUGGGGCUGCGCCCCACACACGCUGCCCUCCGCGGAGGGUCGCGGCGGAGAGGCGGGGGCCGGGAGCCGGAGCCCCCCCGGCGCAGCGCGGCCCCGCAGCGCCCGGUGCUUUCCGACAGGGGGCGAGGAAAGCCCGGCUCCGGGCGCUGGAAGCCCCCUGCGGGAGCGGGGUCGGCGAAGUGGGUGGGGGGCGGUGUGUGUGGGGAGGGGGAGGGAGGAAGAGGGGAAAGCGGCACCCGGCGAGCCCCGGGGGUGUGCUGCGGAGCGUGGCUUUCCUUGCGGUUUGGCUGCCGGCGGGAGAGCUGCGCCCGGGGCCGCCGCUUUGGCACGGCUCGGCCCCGCUGGCUGCGAGCACCGGGCCGCCCGCCGAGAGCCGCGAUCGUGCGGUUUGCAAAGCAGCGGCUGCUGCGCGCCGGGGGCCCUCGCCCGCUCCAAGGGAUGAGGGGUGGGGGGGGGGGGGGGGGGGGGGCCCCCCCCCCGCGGGGGGGGGGGGGGGGGGGGGGGGGGGGGAGGACGGGACCCCGCUGCCGUGCGCCCCGAAUUCCUCCUCCCCAGCCCCAAAAGCGCUCGCGGGAGCCGGGACGGAAUAGCCGGGGCCGGCGGAGGGGGGAUGGGAGGGAUUGCGCUCGGCCGCCCGUGAUGAAUAAUCCGGGCCGGCCUCCCGGUUGCGGCGGCCAAAUCGCUGUCGGAUCUGCCAAGAGAUCAGCCGCUACCUCUGCCCGCGCCUCGGGCGCUGCUGGCCUUUCCCCGGCUGGCUCCGGCAGCGCGCACAUCGCGGCCGCCGAGCGCACGGCGCUGCCGGGGCCGCCCGGGGGAAAAACGGAGCCGGGAAGGGCCCCGGGGGGGCGGCCCCGGGGGCGGGGGGCUCCCCGCGGCAGGUGUCCCCCCCGCGGGUGGGAACGAGCACGGGCUGUUCCCGAGCGGGGCCGUGCAGCUGGCCCCGCAGGGCGCUGCCAAAAAGGCCACGGGAAAGGUUCCCCGGGGGCGUGCGCCUCGGGGGCGGGCGGGGACGCCGCGUGGGGACGCCGCGCGUGGGAGAGCGGGAGCGCGCCCUGCGUGUGCGGGGCGGGGAGGCUCGGGGCGGGGGGGAUGUGGGCACGAGUGGGGGUGUGA
rnacentral:lncRNA from 1 species